GGCUCAGGACGAACGCUGGCGGCGCGCUUAACACAUGCAAGUCGAGCGAGAACCAGGGCUUCGGCCCUGGGGACAGCGGCGAACGGGUGAGUAACACGUGGGUAAUCUGCCCUCGGCACCGGAAUAGCCCGGGGAAACCCGGAUUAAUGCCGGAUGGCCCCUUCACCUCGCGAGGUGUCGGGAAAAGGUAGCUUCGGCCUCCGGCCGAGGAUGAGCCCGCGGCGGAUUAGCUUGUUGGCGGGGUAACGGCCCACCAAGGCAACGAUCCGUAGCUGGUCUGAGAGGACGAUCAGCCACACUGGGACUGAGACACGGCCCAGACUCCUACGGGAGGCAGCAGUGGGGAAUCUUGCGCAAUGGGCGAAAGCCUGACGCAGCGACGCCGCGUGAGGGAAGAAGGCCUUCGGGUUGUAAACCUCUUUCAGGAGGGACGAAGCCACUCGGGUGAACAGCCCAGAGGGUGACGGUACCUCCAGAAGAAGCCCCGGCUAACUACGUGCCAGCAGCCGCGGUAAUACGUAGGGGGCAAGCGUUGUCCGGAUUUACUGGGCGUAAAGCGCGUGUAGGCGGCCGCACAGGUCCGUUGUGAAAACUGGAGGCUUAACCUUCAGACGUCGACGGAAACCGUGUGGCUAGAGUCCGGAAGAGGAGAGUGGAAUUCCUGGUGUAGCGGUGAAAUGCGCAGAUAUCAGGAAGAACACCAAUGGCGAAGGCAGCUCUCUGGGACGGUACUGACGCUGAGACGCGAAAGCGUGGGGAGCGAACAGGAUUAGAUACCCUGGUAGUCCACGCCGUAAACGAUGGGUGCUAGGUGUGGGAGGUGUCGACUCCUUCCGUGCCGCAGCUAACGCAUUAAGCAC
rnacentral:rRNA from 1 species